rnacentral:rRNA from 1 species
GACGAACGCUGGCGGCGUGCCUAAUACAUGCAAGUUGAGCGCUGAAGGUUGGUACUUGUACCAACUGGAUGAGCAGCGAACGGGUGAGUAACGCGUGGGGAAUCUGCCUUUGAGCGGGGGACAACAUUUGGAAACGAAUGCUAAUACCGCAUAAAAACUUUAAACACAAGUUUUAAGUUUGAAAGAUGCAAUUGCAUCACUCAAAGAUGAUCCCGCGUUGUAUUAGCUAGUUGGUGAGGUAAAGGCUCACCAAGGCGAUGAUACAUAGCCGACCUGAGAGGGUGAUCGGCCACAUUGGGACUGAGACACGGCCCAAACUCCUACGGGAGGCAGCAGGAGGGAAUCUUCGGCAAUGGACGAAAGUCUGACCGAGCAACGCCGCGGGAGGGAAGAAGGUUUUCGGAUCGUAAAACUCUGUUGGUAGAGAAGAACGUUGGUGAGAGUGGAAAGCUCAUCAAGUGACGGUAACUACCCAGAAAGGGACGGCUAACUAAGUG